rnacentral:lncRNA from 1 species
CCCAGAUGGAACAGAAAGGCACAAAGAAGGUGAAUUCUCUCCCUCUCUCCUGAAACUGGGACACCCAGCUUCUAUCCUUGGGCAUCAGAACUCCAGGUUCAACAGCCUUUGGACCCUGGGACUUGUACCAGAGGCUCCCCAGCUUCCCGGCUUCUUCUCAGGCCUUCAGACAUGGACUCAGUGUGCUACUGGCUUUCCUCAUUCUCCAGUUUGCAGAUGACCUAUUGUGAAACUUCUCAGCCUCCAUAAUCAUGUCUAACUAUAAAUCCUGGAAAUAGUGCAAGAUGCAACAAAAGGCGUAUUCUGAAAGAUGGGAGGACAAAGGCCCCUUUUUGGAGCACACGUGAGGACCAUCAGAGUAUCGUGCCCAUCCUUUGUGAUGCAACACUUCUUCCGAGCUCUGAGGAACACAGCAGUGCCUAAGUUUUCU